GACGGAGGAUGCAAGCGUUAUCCGGAAUUAUUGGGCGUAAAGCGUCCGCAGGUGGCUGUUCAAGUCUGCUGUCAAAGCGCAGAGCUUAACUCUGUACAGGCGGUGGAAACUGAAGAGCUAGAGUAUGGUAGGGGUAGAGGGAAUUCCCGGUGUAGCGGUGAAAUGCGUAGAUAUCGGGAAGAGCACCAGUGGCGAAAGCGCUCUACUGGGCCAUAAACUGACACUGAGGGACGAAAGCUAGGGGAGCGAAAGGG
rnacentral:rRNA from 1 species